AGGGCUUGGAAACGGUUCAUCAAUACUGUUCCGGGUAAAUGGAAACCGGAGCUUACAUUUGAAGAUUACCCUUGUAUGAGGCAGGAACAAGGGAAUAACUUAUGUGGAUACUACGUCUGCACCUUCAUGCGUGACAUGGCCUGUCCCAAGGGUGGGGAUGCCCGUAUACACCACACUCGUAUGACACGCCUGCGGGACACUCUCAUAACAGCGGAUCAAAUAAAAGCAAUUCAAGAGGAAAUCGCGGGAUUCUUUAUUACCGAGGUCCUUACCCCAGG